rnacentral:tRNA from 1 species
ACUCAUUUGGUGGAAUUGGUAGACACGACAGACUUAAAAUCUGUUUCCUUUUAGGAGUAACGGUUCAAUUCCGAUAAUGGGUA